CAGAGGGGCAUGCGCUUCUGUGUUUAUAUUCUGCAGAAGUGCAUGCUAAUUUUGCAUGAAAGAAAAUAAUCAAUAAAAACUGUCAAAAAGAGAGUUCAAGAGAGAAUUUCUCAACCAGAAAUUAACAGCGGCUGCUGAGGAGAUAUUUGGGGUCGUUGAAAAAACGAUAACAGUACCCGCUAGACGUUUUCCAUACGAAAGAGGAGAAUGAACGUCUUCGUGGGCUGUUGAUGUUGCACAGAGAGUCCGACUGCCAGCAGCAGGCUGAAGCUACUAUCACUUUGGUGCAGGUUGCCCCUGAGCAGCAGCAGUCAUGUACUCAAGAGUGGGGCCUCCGUCUAAGACAGGAGGACCCAGAGCCCACAGUGUAAAGAGGAAGAGGAUACCCACUGGAUCAGUGAGGUUAAAGAACACAUUCAAAAGCUGGAGUCUGAUUCCAAAGAAUAUCCAGACCAAGUAUCCACUUCUGAAGAUUUCACAUUCCAAAUGGAGACAGAAGGGUCAGUAAAUGAAGCCAUCAAACUGAAAGUCAUCCUCAACGACAACAGAAUAGAGAAAGUGAUUCUGCCCUCUCAACCUGAUUCACUGAAUGAGCUGAUAUCAACGCUCAAGGAGAAACUGCAUCUGAAGUUUGAUUUCAGUCUUCUUUAUGAAGACCCUGAUUUCAACAACGAGCUCUUCAACUUCGAGACUGUUGGAGACUUGCCUUCUCCUAGGGCUACGGUGAAAGUUUUGCGAAUACGACGUGAUACAGACCUCGGUUUAGCCGGAGUCUCAGCCACCGAGUUACAGGCUGCCCCACCGGAGCGGUUCGGAAGGUGGCCUGAGGUAUUUGUCAUACCCACUUUCUCGAUGGAAGUUGAGUUUGCUCUGAGAGAGGGCAAUUGUGCAUAUCUGAGACGUGAAACGGUGCUGAAAAUAACAAGGGAUCAAAAACACAACAUUCUUGAUAGAUGGCUUGGACAAUCUUCAAUUCCAAAGCGUACCCAAGUGACAGGCAUUUUGGCAGCUGAGGCCCUUGUAACCAAGCACCCAUGUUUGAAAGAGCCUGGCUCAAAAACAGGCUGUGAUGGCUGGAAGAACAGCCUGAAAUUCAAAUGGGAAACUACAGGCAGAAGUUACGCCAUGUUGGGUUCCCAGAGGUUGCUGUGAACGGGGGGAGGAGGAGCAACAUUAAACAAGCACGCCGGGCAGAGGUGAACUUCCUGCCCAACUUCCCUCAAGGAGAAGACGAGGCCAGCCUGGAGAAACAGAGACUGGAGAUAACUGAGACUUGCUGGGUCCCACAGUGGCACAUUGUAAACAGGAAGAGGAUACACACUGGAUCAGUGAGGUUGAAGAAUACAUUGAAAGGCUGGAGUCUGAUCCCAAAGACCCUGACCAAGUAUCCACUUCUGAGGAUUCACAUUCCAAAUGGAGACAGAAGGGUCAGUAAAUGAAGCCAUCAAACUGAAAGUCAUCCUCAACGACAACAGAAUAGAGAAAGUGAUUCUGCCCUCUCAACCUGAUUCACUGAAUGAGCUGAUAUCAACGCUCAAGGAGAAACUGCAUCUGAAGUUUGAUUUCAGUCUUCUUUAUGAAGACCCUGAUUUCAGUGCUCUCUUUAGUUCACUUCACAGGGAGAAAAUAACAUCACCGUUCUGCAGUCCUGGCUGGUCUCCCUUUGUUGUUACGAGAGGAUGGUUCUGAUGUCUUCAAAAUGGCUCACCUGGUUUUACAGCCUGUAUCAUUAUCAACACAUUCUUUUGUAUUGUGUUUUUUAAACUUAUUUUUUUUCCUUUGUCAUUAAAGUGGGAGAACUCAGCAACCCUGGUAUUCUGGAUGGAGUUUCCAUUCUCUCAGUGGUGGGCCAGCACAAUGAGGUGGUGGGUGGUAUACCCAUCAGACCGGCCCAUAUGUAUCCAUUGUCGUUGAGGAUAAGAUCGUCAUGACUAACUCCCGUUCCUGGCCAGACGCUCUCGUGGUUGUUUUUGGGUUACUCUACUCCCUCCAUCUGAACUUCCCCAAAGCCCUGGGCAGCACCUCUGAGUUCAUGCAGAAAGUCUUCCUGAACCUCGACGAUGGAAAACUGAAGCCCAAGCGGCUAGUGCUGAAAUAUGAACUGUUGGCAUAAUUCUGUAGUGAUGAGAUGGAAUUUUACUUUGAGUGACCUCCUAUAUGCUGAGUGAGUGGUUUGAAAACAAUACUUAUUUUUGUUUGGUUUUUGUGUGUGUUUUUGUGCAGGUAAUGGAUUUGAUAUUGUAUUUCAAUGAACUUAUAACCCUUUUAUGUGAAAAGAAGACACAGGUCAGUCAACACAUUAACUUGCCACAUACAGUCGAUCUGCGACCCAGUUCUCUACCUUCGUUAUACAGCUGCAGAAAACCCCCAAAUGUUUUCUAGAAGAUUUCACCUUUGCAGACAAUCCAACUGGCACAAAAUACAUGUUGAUAAAAUGUUUAUUAAAGUGUCUUUACCUGC